CUCUUUUAUGGAGUAAACACUACGGGGGAAAACCCGUCCACCAAAACUAUUGUAUUGAUAUUUCUCCCUCUCUCUGCUUAAAAUAAUUGUUUUGUUUUGUUUUGUUGUUUGUUGCUUUUUGAGACAGCGUCUCACUGUGUCACCCAAUCUGGAGCGCAGCAAUCUUGGCUCACUGCAACCUCUGCCUCCUGGGCUCGAGCAGUCCUCCCACCUCAGCCUCCCGAGUAGCUGGGGCUACAGCCGCUCGCCACCAUGCUCAGUUUAAUAUUAUAAGGUUUUGUAGAGACGAGGUCUCACUAUAUUGCCCAGGCUGAUCUCUCAACUCCUGGGCUCAAGCGAUCCUGCUACCUCAUCCUCCCAAAGUGCUGGGAUUUACAGGCAUGAGCCACCACACCAGACUCUAAAAUGAUUUUAUACAAGUGGACUUCAUCUCUUCCCUUUUUAUUUUUAAAAAUUACAAGCAUACAGAAAAUUUGCCCCAUUUUCUUUAUCUCUCUCUCUCUAGUUCUUUUUUAUUUGUUUGUUGUGUACUGUUUGUUCAUCUGUAUCAUUUGAGAGGAAGUUGCAAUCAUGACAUUUUGCCCCUAAAAUACUUCAGCCUAUAUCUCUUUACAAGGACAUUCUCCUUUACGAUUGUGAUACAAUCAUACUUGGGAUUUAACAUUAAAACAGUAUUAAUGUUAAUAUACAGACCACAUUCAGAUUUCCCCAGUGUCUCAAUUCUGUCAUUUCAGGAUAGCAAUUAAAAAAAAAAUCCGGGGUCCAAUCAAGGAUCCUGCAUUUUAUUUACUUGUCUUGUGAAUAUCUUAUUCCCCAGCAGCAUUUUACUCAGGUUUUAGAAUCCAUUGAAGACUCCUUAUAAAGAGCAUAAUUGGCUAGAUAAGUUGUAUUCUUUCCAUGUUAUGCUCGUGAAAUAUUAGUGAGAUAAUUUUAACAACAGAUACAGUGUCAUUUAUCUUACUAGAUAUAGGACUGAGGAAGGGAAAGGAGUCUAUGGUAGCUCAUAGGGAACAUAGUGACAUGAAAAUCUAGGUCAACAGACUAGCUUUAGCUUUUAUGAGGCAUCUGGGCCUCUAAUAUUAGGUACUUUUUGUGUGGCACUAAAAUGGCCUCCAGAAAUUAUUUACAAUUUUUCUCUAGUUCUAACAGUUUUAACUUUUUCUUAACUUCUAGGAGGAUCAGCUGAUUUAUUCGGAGGAUUUGCUGACUUUGGCUCAGCUGCUGCAUCAGGCAGUUUCCCUUCCCAAGUAACAGCAACAAGUGGGAAUGGAGACUUUGGUGACUGGAGUGCCUUCAACCAAGCCCCAUCAGGCCCUGUUGCUUCCAGUGGCGAGUUCUUUGGCAGUGCCUCACAGCCAGCGGUAGAACUUGUUAGUGGCUCACAAUCAGCUCUAGGCCCACCUCCUGCUGCCUCAAAUUCGUCAGACCUGUUUGAUCUUAUGGGCUCGUCCCAGGCAACCAUGACAUCUUCCCAGAGUAUGAAUUUCUCUAUGAUGAGCACUAAUACUGUGGGACUUGGUUUGCCUAUGUCAAGAUCACAGAAUACAGAUAUGGUCCAGAAAUCAGUCAGCAAAACCUUGCCCUCUACUUGGUCUGACCCCAGUGUAAACAUCAGCCUAGACAACUUACUACCUGGUAUGCAGCCUUCCAAACCCCAGCAGCCAUCACUGAAUACAAUGAUUCAGCAACAGAAUAUGCAGCAGCCUAUGAAUGUGAUGACUCAAAGUUUUGGAGCUGUGAACCUCAGUUCUCCAUCGAACAUGCUUCCUGUCCGGCCCCAAACUAAUGCUUUGAUAGGGGGACCCAUGCCUAUGAGCAUGCCCAAUGUGAUGACUGGCACCAUGGGAAUGGCCCCUCUUGGAAAUACUCCGAUGAUGAACCAGAGCAUGAUGGGCAUGAACAUGAACAUAGGGAUGUCCGCUGCUGGGAUGGGCUUGACAGGCACAAUGGGAAUGGGCAUGCCCAACAUAGCCAUGACUUCUGGAACUGUGCAACCCAAGCAAGAUGCCUUUGCAAAUUUCGCCAAUUUCAGCAAAUAAGAGAUUGUAAAAGAAGCAGAUUGAAUGAAGAAUUUUUAGCUGUGCAGAUAGGUGAUGUUGGGAUGGAAAAUGCUAAUCAACUACCCUUUCUUUUAUCAAGUGAUUAAAAUAAAUCUACAUAAAGAACCAAAAAGGCUGUUUUAUAAAAGUGAAAUAUCCAGUAUUUCAGAGGGCCAGGCAAGAGCACUUCAGAUGAGGCAGUCAGAAUCUUUUUUCCAGUGAGGAUAGACCACAAGUGGGUGGUGAGACCAUUGAAAGCCUUUAUCAACUGAAGAGCCCAUUUAACAGCAUAAUUUGUGGGAAGACUGGAAUAGGGCUGAAUAAAUGUGUUUGAAUCUCUAAUUUUAUACUUUCUUUUCCUGAGGAACUUGAUUUUUCUGUCCCUGGAUCGCCUUGUCAUAAUUGGGUCUGUUCCUUUUACUACCACUCUUGAGUCCAUAUAUGAAAUCAUUAAAGUUGGAUGAUCAGUUUUUUAUAAAAAUAUAUAUUUUUGUCCAAGAAAAAAAAAAGCAUACAUAUGUGAUUAUGGCUAAAUCAAAGGUAACUGGAAUGUAUAUACUUUUGCUAAUGUUCCAGCAACACUGCUAUUAUACUAUCCAAAUUUUUAUUGUAACAAAACCUCUUUAAGCAAUUGGUGAUUGCUAUGGGACUUUUCCCAUGUCUUCUGCUGUAAUUAUCCUGUGCAGAACUAGGAAGAAAUUUUUUUCAGGACUGCUCUAUGGUUUCCUUUAAAAGAAAAAAAACUUCUGUUUGUUUUUAGCAGUCAUUAUUUACAAUUUGCAGUGAUUAACUUGGCAAGGCUUCCUUCCGUGUUUAUCCCUGUAGCCAUCAUUUAAGUCAGGAACAGUCAGAAAAAUAUUUAUUGUAUUUUUUUUUUGGGUGUCUGCAAAGGUAAAAAUCCAUUAAAACCUUAAGUUAAAUAUAAAUGUUACAACUCAAUGUUUGCUUUUAGAUUUUAUACAGUAUUUGUUUUGUUUUGGUUUUGAGUGUAUAUAAUGCAGCAUUAGCAAUAUGGUUCCAAUAGAGGAGUUAAAUAUAUAUUAUUAAAGGAGACCUGUAGCAGUCAAAGAUUUUAUUGAUUUAAUGACAAAGGAAAUUAAUGAAAAUGUUUUUGUUUUUCUGCUGUAAUUCUGCAUUAAGCUCACAUGAAAAUCAUGAUUCUAGAGUUUGGAAUGCAAAAUUAAUUGUUUUACCCUCAAGCUGGGAAUAUUUUUCAAAAUAAAUACUAUAAUAUAGAUAUCAAAUUAUUACCUCCCCAUGUUAUGUUGAAAAUUUUUUUAUUGAUAAAACUUUAUUUCCAUUAUAUUCAUAAUGUUCUGUUAUACAUAACAUUAAAAUGUUCAUUAAAA
rnacentral:sRNA from 1 species